AUUGAACGCUGGCGGCAUGCCUAACACAUGCAAGUCGAACGGCAGCACGGUCUAGUUUACUAGAUGGGUGGCGAGUGGCGCACGGGUGAGUAAUGCGUAGGAAUAUGCCUUGAAGUGGGGGAUAACUUGGGGAAACUCAAGCUAAUACCGCCUGAGCUCUAAGGAGGAAAGCUGGGGACCGUAAGGCCUGGCGCUUACAGAUUAGGAUACGUCCGAUUAGCUAGUUGGUAGGGUAAAGGCCUACCGAGGCGACGAUCGGUAGCUGGUCUGAGAGGAUGAUCAGCCACACUGGGACUGAGACACGGCCAAGACUCCUACGGGAGGCAGCAGGGGGGAAUAUUGGACAAUGGGGGAAACCCUGAUCCAGCGAUGCCGCGUGUGUGAAGAAGGCCUAAGGGUCGUAAAGCACUUUCGGUGGGGAGGAGGACUGCUAUGUUAAGAGCUAAACAGUUGGACGUUACCCACAAAAGAAGCACCGGCUAACUCCGUGCCAGCAGCCGCCGUAAGAC
rnacentral:rRNA from 1 species